ensembl:lncRNA
CCUCAUUCUUCCUCACGUGCCUUCAGAGGAAAGUGGGUCAUCAAACGAAAUGCCCCCGAAUUUAGAUCACACAAGGACAGAAUAAUUCCUGGAUGCUUGAGUGUCUGCAUUUGAAUAUCGACCAGGACUGUCACACAGCUUUCAGAUUGAUCUGCCUGCGCCAUCGCAGAUGGCGUGCACGCUGAAGCUGCGUUCCCUCCGCUGAUCAAAGGGAGUCAUUUUAAUUGGAGCCUUUUCAACGCUAAUUGUUCUCUCUGUUGUAAAUCAGUGUCUCUUAGUCUCCCCAGGUCUUUGUUAGCAAAUUGUCUUGGCAGUUUCCUUGUUUCAUCUCGGGUUGAGUUUUAUUGCGUUGCAUAACUGUGUGACUGACUGUGCUGAUUGUGACAGGCAGCCUGAGAGGGUCUGAGGGUUUCAUCUCAACGUGGGUUGUUUUAAAAGAGAUGAUGGCAAAUAAUCGGC